GGAGGCACUUGAUAAACUCGCCUGAGCCAGGUGUGGGGGUGGAAGCAGCAUUCCAUUGCAGCAACGUCUGCUCCCAGAUCAGACUCAGCUGGGGUUCCAGAGGGGAGAUGCUGAAAACGGGGAAGGAAAAGGAGCAAUCUAAAACCAGAGUGCCUCUGGUGCUGGUGGGAGGAGAAUAUCCCAAGGAGCCGGAGCCCUUCCUGAGAUGAAGAGCCAGGCGCCCCUUGGGGACCCCGAGAAAGAGCAACAAGUAGUCCCCUCCGCCGCAGAGCUAUCAGGAGAGUCUGUAUCUGAAGAAGGAAGACAGCUGGGGUUCCAGUCCCUGGAGCCGUCUGCCUCCCACAUAGGGACGGAUAACAGAGGGGCCCUGAAGUCAACCAGCCACAGCAGGCUUUCAACAAAAACUUUAUCAGCACCACCACCGCGGCCAUAGGUGAGCUGGCACGCGCCAGAACAGCAGCUAAGGAAAACAGCGCCAGAAGCUGGUCCCGCCUGCUUUGGAGUGGAGCUUCCUCUCCCCCUUGUGGUUACAACUGUUCUGAUCUUCGGGAAUGGGUCAUUGGCAGCGGUGGUGUUUUAUCCUACCUUGAGCUCUCUGCUCCUUACACAACCUCCCUGACUCAUCGAUCCGCUCUCGCCGACCUGCCUACCUUCUUGUAUCAGUGCCCCCCGCCCCCUGCUCCCCCGUUCAUCCUUCUGCUCCUUUUAAAAGGUGCUUCAGUGUACAUGGAUCCAGCACGCUUCACUUGUGCAACUAUUUACUUUUCUGUAUCUCCUGAACGCAUUUUUAAUUCCAUUUAUUUACUCCCGAUUUCUUUCAGAAAACAACAUGAAAUAAAAGUAAUAACUGAGGGAAACAGGAUGGAGGGAAAAAGGAGCAAUGCAUUUAUGUUUAUAAUCUUUUUCUCCGCAUCGAUACGCAUCCUACUAUAAAUUCAUUACGCGUGUUUUCAUGUGUCCAGCCCUGUGGUGGAUGCUACGCGGGAUGCACAAGAUGUACAGAGCCUAGCCCCUGUGCUCAUGGAGGUUUUCGUCUCAUGGGAAAGGCAUUAAUAAAGUCUUCCAUCUGUGUCACUGAAGAGGGAUCAGCAUUUCCUUGAUAUGAAGGAGGAAACUGAGCCUUAGAGGGUUGAAGGACCUGAGGAGACAGCAGGGGGAUUGGGGCUCAAGUUCCAGUGUCCUGACUCCAGGUUUCGUGUUCUUCCCACUCUGCCGUUAUUCUCAUCCAGCUUCCUCUGCAGACACUUCAUAGAGCUGUGACACGGGAAGCAGCGUGGCAGUGCCUCAUCGACUGGCCGUGACAAGGAGAAUUGACUCUCAGGAUAAGGAAAUCAAUGAGGGCUGAGGAGAACGGCAAGGAAGGAGAGUAGAAGAUGGAGCUGGAGGAAACUGUAGGACUUGGCCAGAGGCCUAUCGAGGGAGAGCCUUCCAGACUCCGCGGGUCCUUGUGUGUGUCGUCCAAAGGGCCACAGAAAAGCCACCAGACACUGUGUUUUCAAGAGCUUAUUAUGGAAGCAGUGAGAACGAGGUAAAUGUAUUCUCCCUCUAUCUCUGUAUAUGCAAAUACAAAUAUAUACAUAUGUAUACG
ensembl:lncRNA